rnacentral:ncRNA from 1 species
UUCAUAACAGUGAAGAGAUAAGUAUUGAUUUAGCGCUAAAAGAGAGUUUGCGUUUGGUGAGAGUAAACAGCUGAUAAUCAGGAAAAUGGUCUUGGAGUUACUGUGUGGCGAGUACACGCCGGCUCAUUAGCCGAUACGAUAUAAGUCAUGCUCGGGUGAGCCCGUUACAGCGUCAUUGAUUCCUUAAGGGGUAUGUACAGAUAUUUUCGAAUCAUACCCUUGCGAUCAAUAGAGAGGUGUAUUGUUUUUUUUUGCAGAUACAUAAAAACCGGGUGGUAACACGAGAUUUCGUCCCGCAG